UCUACGGGCGGCAGCAGUGGGGAAUAUUGCACAAUGGGGGAAACCCUGAUGCAGCGACGCCGCGUGAGUGAAGAAGUACUUUGUUAUGUAAAGCUCUAUUAGCAGGGAAGAAAAUUACGGUACCUGAGCAAGAAGCCCCGGCUACCUACGUCCAAGCCGCCGCGGUCAGACGUAGGGGGCAAGCGGUAUCCGGAUUUACGGGGUGUAACGGGGGCGUAGACGGCAGGGCAGGUCUGGAGGGAAAGGCGGGGGCUAAAGCCCCGGACUGCUCUGGAAACUGUACGGCUGGAGUGCGGGAGAGGUAAGUGGAAUUCGUGGUGUAGCGGUGAAAUGCGUAGAUAUUAGGAGGAACACCAGUGGCGAAGGCGGCUUACUGGACUGUAACUGACGUUGAUGCUCGAAAGCGUGGGGAGCAAACAGGAUUAGAUACCCUAGUAGUC
rnacentral:rRNA from 1 species